rnacentral:lncRNA from 1 species
UUUGGAUGUUCCCCUUGAUAGACUGCAGUAUUUUUCCGGUUAAGACCCUCAGCUGUCCUGCAGAAGAAGGUUAUUCUCUUCUUGGUCCAUCCAGUUUACUUGAAAUGCUUAGUAUUGUAGAGUAUCACCAAACAGUUUCUGUUUUCAUCCAAGCAUAGAAAGAAUAAAAUCAAUUCUAUACGUUGACUUCUUUUCCAAAAUGUCUUUCUUGGAUUGAAUGGAUGUUUCUACUUAAAAAAGAAGGUUCCAAGAAAAAUCUCUGUCUCCAUCAUAGCGGCUCUCCCAGCAGUCCAACAUCAGUUUCAAACGUAACUCUGUUACGCUGAGGGGAGGGAAAAAAAAAAGGCUUGCAGGGUAUCCAUACAUAUAUUUCACUGCUCUAUAUUAGUCCCCCUGGAAUGGAACAUUCUCCCCCAAAAUAAAUUAGCUCAACUCGGAUACCAGAAGAUGCCGCCUUAACUGGCAGAUCAUUUGUUACAUGGUUUGAAUAUUUGAUUUACGUAAAGAAAGGUGCCAUCCGGUGCUUUCACAG